rnacentral:RNase_P_RNA from 2 species
GGAGCAGUCCAAGCGAUCGCCGGCCGGUUCCUCCGGCCGGAGGAAAGUCCGAACACCGCAGGGCAGGGUGCUCCAUAACGUGGAGUCGCGGCGACGCGAAGGAAAGUGCAACAGAAAGCAGACCGCCCCGCAGCCAUGCGGGGUAAGGGUGAAACGGUGCGGUAAGAGCGCACCAGUUCUUCGGGUGACCGGAGAAGCUAGGUAAACCCCACCCGGUGCAAGACCAAAUAGGGGGGCGCUAGAGGGCGGCCCGUCCGAGCCCCCGGGUAGGUCGCAAGAGGUGCCGGGCAACCGGCGCCCUGAGAUGAAUGAUCGUUGCCCGCUGCCGGGUAACCGGCCGCGGGUCACAGAAUUCGGCUUACGGACUGCUUCGGCC